rnacentral:misc_RNA from 1 species
GAUGAAGAACGUAGCGAAAUGCGAUACGUAAUGUGAAUUGCAGAAUUCAGUGAAUCAUCGAGUCUUUGAACGCACAUUGCGCCCCCUGGUAUUCCGGGGGGCAUGCCUGUCCGAGCGUCAUUGCUGCCCUCAAGCCCGGCUUGUGUGUUGGGUCUCGCCCCCCUUCCCGGGGGGACGGGCCCGAAAGGCAGCGGCGGCACCGCGUCCGGUCCUCGAGCGUAUGGGGCUUUGUCACCCGCUCUGUAGGCCCGGCCGGCGCUUGCCGAUCAACCAAAACUUUUUUCCAGGUUGACCUCGGAUCAGGUAGGGAUACCCGCUGAACUUAAGCAUAUCAAUAAGCGGAGGA